ACUCCUACGGGAGGCAGCAGUGGGAAUGAUUGCACAAUGGGCGCAAGCCUGAUGCAGCCAUGCCGCAGUGUAUGAAGAAUGGGCCUUCGGGUUGAUAAAUGUACUUUCAGCAGUGAGGAAGGUGGGUAUGUUAAUAGCAUAUUCAUUUGACGUUAGCUGCAGAAGAAGCACCGGCUAACUCCGUGCCAGCAGCCGCGGUAAUACGGAGGGUGCGAGCGUUAAUCGGAAUUACUGGGCGUAAAGCGCAUGCAGGUGGUUUGUUAAGUCAGAUGUGAAAGCCCGGGGCUCAACCUCGGAAUUGCAUUUGAAACUGGCAAACUAGAGUACUGUAGAGGGGGGUAGAAUUUCAGGUGUAGCGGUGAAAUGCGUAGAGAUCUGAAGGAAUACCGGUGGCGAAGGCGGCCCCCUGGACAGAUACUGACACUCAGAUGCGAAAGCGUGGGAGCAAACAGGAUUAGAUACCCUGGUAGGCU
rnacentral:rRNA from 1 species